rnacentral:rRNA from 1 species
UACGUAGGGGGCUAGCGUUGUCCGGAAUCAUUGGGCGUAAAGCGCGCGUAGGCGGCCCGGUAAGUCCGCUGUGAAAGUCAGAGGCUCAACCUUUGAAUGUCAGCGGAUACUGCCGGGCUAGAGUCCGGAAGAGGCGAGUGGAACUCCUGGUGUAGCGGUGGAAUGCGCAGAUAUCAGGAAGAACACCAACGGCGAAGGCAGCUCGCUGGGACGGAACUGACGCUAAGGAGCGAAAGCGUGGGGAGCGAACAGG